rnacentral:tRNA from 2 species
GAGAAAGGUGGGUCAUGGGUGGAUUUCUAAUCUAUCUCAUAGGCAGUUCAACUCUGUCUCUUUCUUU